CAUCCAUCUCCCUUGCUCUCUCUCUCUUUACCUUCUCUCUAUAUUUUCUUCCCCUCUCUCCAAGCUUCCACCAUGGCAGCGGCCGUCGGGCAGUCUACCGGAUGGCCGAUGACCCUUCUCAUCUCCUCUCUCCAUCCUCUUUUCUCUCCUCUCUAGCCAGGAAAAAUAAGCCAACCACCAGCGAACAUCGGUUGGCCACCGCUCUAACGAAAAUAACCACCACCGGUCGAUGGGAGUUCCACCAGCAGCAACUCUAUAGACGCCGACACCUCUCAUCAUCUCCUUCUAUCAGUGACCACGAACCCAGAUGCAUCAUCGUAUUUUGGCAAAGCCCUUUCCCAGCCUCUGCUCUAGAUAACGAAACCCACCUCAAUUGACUACGUCAACAAUAACAACGGUAUCCCGCCACCUUGUUCUCCGCUGUCUCUCAUCUCUCCGCUACCAUAUAGCCAUGAUUUUAUUCUAUUUGCUUCAUCGGAGGUAAUGACCAGUGAGGAAUAUAAGACUCCAAAGACUGGGCAGAAUUUUUGAGAUUUGAAGAAAACCACAAAAAUUUCAUGAGUAAACAAUAUAUCCAUUCGCAACGACGUGCAAAAGGUAUUUUUCAUUCUAAACUGGGUAGAAUUUUUUUAGAAUUCCUCAAAAAUUUCAUCACGAUGGUGUACAAGUCCCAACGAUUCAUGGAGUAGAAAACAAUAACCAAGACACUUCGAUUGAGCCAGAGGUACAAAUCAACCUCCCUUUUUUUUUUACAAACUCAUAAUUUUUCUUUAAGUACAGGAUUAACAGGUACUGAUGACAGGAAUCACUCCAUCAUGAGAGGCCCAACGCCCAAUCCAGCAUCAUGAUGAGAAGCCCAAUGGUUGAUCCAACAAUACAAUAGAUAUGCUUUCUUAUAUUUUAUUAUCUUUAUUAUUAUGAUUAUUUUCACUACAUCGUUCAAUCUUCUAUACAUACUAACAAUUUUUAUGUAGUUGAGCUAAAGAUGGCAGGACUAACAUGCACAGAUUACUCCAUCACGAGUAGCCAAAUAGUUGAUUCCACGAUUCCACAGUACAUCAAGAAUCCCAAGAUCUGAUCCCGUGAUUCCACAGUGCAUCGAUAAGCCAAAAACAUGAUACCAUGAUGAGAAGCCAUAGUGCAUCAAAAAGCCAAAGAGUUGAUCCCACGAUGAGAAGCCAAACAGCUGAUCCCACUAUUCCACAAUGCAUAGAGAGGUCCAAGAGCUGAUCCCACGAUUCCGUAGUGAAUCAAGAAACCUAAAAUUUGAUCCCAUUAAGAGAAUCCAAAUAGCUAAUCCCACAGUGCAUAGAGAGGCCCAAGAGACGAUCCCAGGAUUCCACAAUGCAUCGAGAAGCCCAAAAGCUGAUCCCACAAUGAGAAGACAAACAACUGAUCUUAUGAUGAGAAGCCAAAUAGUCGAUCCCACAGUGCAUCGAGAGGCCCAAGAUCUAAUCCCACGAUUCGACAGUGCAUCAAGAAUCCAAAUCAUUGAUCCCCCGAUAUAAUAGAUAUGCUUUAUUUAUUUCCACAUUCACUUUAUGUUUAUCAAUUGCUUAUCUUUUUCAUGCCCCAACCUUUGUUAUCUAGUAUAUUGUAAAGUACGCAGGUGACAGAGAAGGAGUAACAAACAGAAAUAAUUUUCAUUUAUGUUUUUGAAA